rnacentral:lncRNA from 1 species
CUUACCUGAGCAUCCAUCAUAUAUAUAGCAAAUUGAGUUGCAUGUGAUUAAUUGAUUACACAAUAAGCUAUCGGUGUACCUCUAUAUAUAUACAUAUUCCUCUAUUAGAACUUUUCACAAACACCUCUCAACUCUCAAGCAACAGCAGUUACCAGCAACAGUAAGGACUUUCAAAUCUCACUUGCGAAGCGUCAAGCUGCAAGCUAUUAGCUGACCAUCAUCACUCAUCAUGGGAGCUGGAGAUUUUUCUACAGAUUUAGAUUCAAAUUCCAGCUCAUCGAAUUCGAUUAUAAUACGCGAAGUCUGGGCGUCUAAUUUGGAAUCCAAAUUCGAACUCAUUAGCCAAGUCAUCGAUCAAUUUAAAUCAUCGUCAAUUCCCCAUUCUCUAAUUCCAAGCAUACCCAUUACCAAAUAACUGGAAAAAAAAAUGAAGCUUUUGUAAAAAAAACCUCACCUUAGAUCAAUAGAAAGGCUGUAAUCGAAGUGGGGUCUUCAAGAGUUGAUGAAAAUCGACUGAGAGAUUCGUGACAGCACUUUUGUUGACAGAGAUUGUGGAAGAUAGAGUGAGAGAUUGCGGAAGAUAGAGUGAGGUCAGUGAGAGUUAACAGUUCUAAUGAACUGGGGAGUGAUGAAUGCGAGAUUAUGGAAGUGAAAAUAAUAGAAUUAAUUUAUUUUAUUUUAUUUUAUUUAUUUUCCACUCACAGCUCACCUUGUAUUUAUCUAACCCAUGGAUAAACCAUACCCAAACCAUUAUGAAAUUGUUUUUUUUAUAAAAACCCAAACCAACCCAUUUUAAUAAUUUAUCCAACCCAAACUAUUUUAUUUGGUUUGAGUUUGGUUAAACCCAUGGGUUGUGGGUUUAUGCCCACCCCUAAAUGUCGUUGUAAUUAAAUGAAUUUGCAAUUGUUG